rnacentral:lncRNA from 1 species
AACAAGAUACUUGAACAUCUGAGCUGUGGAAGGCGAAAAAGUCCCAUGAGAAAUGGGUAUAGGUCUGCAUGGAUAUGAUGAAAAAUACAGCAAUUGAGUGACAUCCCCCUGGCUUCCCUGCACUAUGGCAGACCCAAAGGACACAGUCACGGAUGCAAAGCUGAGCAGAUGCACACACACUCACAGCCUGAUAUUGCUACAACUUCUGCUGAAGAAAUGGAAUCUGUAAGUGUUGUGUAUACCUCUUAAACCACAUCCAAGAUUAUAAACUCCAGUACCUUGGAGAUGACAAUAGCGUAUGUGUAUACGCUAUUGGAGUAUGGCUAAAUGUAAGAUUCUCUCUUCUGUCCUUAAAAUCUAUGAAUUUCUCUGAUGCUUAAACGAUGGUAGCUAUCCAGUGGGAUGAUGAGAGAACGACUCAAAGAGAACUGAAGAGCUGAAUGCUGCAGCUGAAGAGCAACUGUCCUGAAGGUUAAAGUUACACGUUUGGACAGCUUUCAAAGCCAACUUUCAAGCAGAGAAUUAUCUUAGCAGCCAGAAAGCUGUCCUUUCCUUCACCCUCUCCCAGCACCGUGCAAGAGAAGAAGUAAGAGGAACAUCUGGCAAGCUUACCUCAUUCCUUCGCUGGCUCCUUGAAGGCCAUCAUCACAGGAGGGUGCUCAUAGCCUUCACAGAAACCUUCACAGCUCACCAACAGAGCCUCUGCCUGUCCCCAAGAGUGGCAGAGCCCUGCCCUGUCCUUCUCCUCUCUAGGCCUGGGCAGCGCGGCCGGAGCAGAGCCCAGGGAGAUGCCUCCCAGACCCGGCACCAGCUGAGGGAGAUCCCCAUCGCAGCCAGCGGCAAAACAAGGCUGGGAAUUCCAGUCCCAGGGUCAGAAACCAGUCCCCAGUCCAGGCUGCAGGACUUUUCCCAGCUCCACGCUCAAAGGUAGAACAAAAUCCCUUUCUAGUCAUGCAAUAAUACCGGGUAGAUCAUUUAAUGCAAAGGGUGUGUUCUCCCAUUACCUUUUCCACAACCUGCAAAUGUGCAAUUGCAACACGUUGCUGCUCCAACAACCCUGGCUGUGCCCACAGACCACAGUAUUUAGGGGGCAGGGGAAGGACAACUGUGUAUUUAACGCUGCUUAGAUUAUUGUAAUAAUGGCUGGGAGGAGGUCAGGGCUACUGAAAAAAAUACUCAAGAAUACAAUUAACAAGUUUUGUUUCUGCCACUACACUUUUUCUUUCCAUUUUUCAGAUAGUGGCAGAGCUUGGCCUUAUGUUUCCUACCAAAAAUAAUAGUAGUUGGAUUUUUUUAUACUCCUUUUCAUACAAUGAUAUGAUUUUUGUCUUUUUGGAGAGGGUGAGGAACUAACUGCCCAACUUAAAGCAAUGAGGACCUUUAUUUUCACGCAAUAAGGAUAAUAUUUCUACUAUCAGAUCAGUUUGAAAAAAAGAUUCAAGAGAAAUGUUGCCAGAGAAUCCAAGUCAAUACGUUGUCUCAUCAAAGUCAAAUUACUUUGUAAAAGUAAUAUCCAUU